rnacentral:rRNA from 1 species
GUAGUUAGCCGGGGCUUCCUCCUUGGCUACCGUCACUUUCUUCGUCACCAAGGACAGAGGUUUACAAUCCGAAGACCUUCUUCCCUCACGCGGCGUUGCUGGGUCAGGCUUGCGCCCAUUGCCCAAUAUUCCCCACUGCUGCCUCCCGUAGGAGUCUGGACCGUGUCUCAGUUCCAGUGUGGCCGAUCAGCCUCUCAGCUCGGCUACCCAUCGUUGGCUAGGUGGGCCGUUACCCCGCCUACUACCUAAUGGGACGCGAACCCCUCCUUCUGCGGAUUGCUCCUUUGACCCCUGAGCCAUGCGACUCUGUGGUCUUAUGCGGUAUUAGCACUUGUUUCCAGGUGUUAUCCCCCUCAAAAGGGCAGGUUGUUCACGCGUUACUCACCCGUUCGCCACUAGCUAUAAAUCCGAAAACCUAUAGCCCGUUCGACUUGCAUGUGUUAGGCACGCCGCCAGCGUUCGUCCUGAGCCAGAAUCAAACUCUGA